AACGAACGCUGGCGGCAUGCCUAACACAUGCAAGUCGAACGAAGUCUUCGGACUUAGUGGCGCACGGGUGCGCAACGCGUGGGAAUCUGCCCUUGGGUGCGGAAUAACUUCUCGAAAGGGAUGCUAAUACCGCAUAAUGUCGUAAGACCAAAGAUUUAUCGCCCAAGGAUGAGCCCGCGUAAGAUUAGCUAGUUGGUGGGUAAAAGCCUACCAAGGCGACGAUCUUUAGCUGGUCUGAGAGGAUGAUCAGCCACACUGGGACUGAGACACGGCCCAGACUCCUACGGGAGGCAGCAGUGGGGAAUAUUGGACAAUGGGCGAAAGCCUGAUCCAGCAAUGCCGCGUGAGUGAUGAAGGCCCUAGGGUUGUAAAGCUCUUUUACCAGGGAUGAUAAUGACAGUACCUGGAGAAUAAGCUCCGGCUAACUCCGUGCCAGCAGCCGCGGUAA
rnacentral:rRNA from 1 species